rnacentral:rRNA from 1 species
GACGAACGCUGGCGGCGUGCUUAACACAUGCAAGUCGAGCGGAAAGGCCCUGCUUUUGUGGGGUGCUCGAGUGGCGAACGGGUGAGUAGCACGUGAGUAACCUGCCCUUGACUUUGGGAUAACUUCAGGAAACUGGGGCUAAUACCGGAUAGGAGCUCCUGCUGCAUGGUGGGGGUUGGAAAGUUUCGGCGGUUGGGGAUGGACUCGCGGCUUAUCAGCUUGUUGGUGGGGUAGUGGCUUACCAAGGCUUUGACGGGUAGCCGGCCUGAGAGGGUGACCGGCCACAUUGGGACUGAGAUACGGCCCAGACUCCUACGGGAGGCAGCAGUGGGGAAUAUUGCACAAUGGGCGGAAGCCUGAUGCAGCAACGCCGCGUGCGGGAUGACGGCCUUCGGGUUGUAACCCGCUUUCGCCUGUGACGAAGCGUGAGUGACGGUAAUGGGUAAAGAAGCACCGGCUAACUACGUG